UGUGUUCCAGAGAUAAUGAGUGUGUCUGGGUCUCGAAUGUGGGCAGCAUCAUCCAGUAGGCUGGGGGCCCAGAUGGAACACAGAAUGGAAAAAGGAGGAAGGGUACAUGUUCCACUCUUCUUGAAUGGGUACAACUUUUGCUGCUACCAUCACCCCUAGAUUCUUCAGCCUUGGACUGGGGCUGCGUCACUGGUCCUUCUUAUUCUGAGGUUUUCAGAUUCUUGGGCUGAGCAGCUACUGGCUUUCUAGGCUCUGCAAUCUGAAGAUGCCAUUGUGGGACUAUCUAGCAUCCUGUCAUGGAGAAGACAAAAACAGUACAGAAGAAACAAGUUGAGAGCAAUAGAGGCAUUUAACAUGAUGUAGCUGAUGCUGUCAUGGAUUUCACUAGAGAUGAUGCUCAGAAACUCUACCUUCUUCAUUCUGUCCACCUUCUUUUCUGGAAAAGAAGAAAUACUAUUUGGAAGGAGAAACAAAGGCGGCUCUCCCUGCUGGAUUCAUCUCUGCCCAGGCUAGCUAAAAAACAGAACACAGUUGCUAACUUCUCCUCUCUCUGUGAAACUGGCAACUGCAACUUUUUAUUUUUUGGAUUUUUUUAAUGAGAUCACGUUGAAGCAAAUGCAGUUCAUGUUUUAAGGGCAGAUGUUCUGGAAGUGACACAGCUGUUCAGCUCACCGUUGGAUGAAGAGCAGCAGAUCCAAAUCAAGCCUGUGCUCCCAGGGUCCUGCAUGUGAAGUGACUCUUUUAAUGGACCAAUUUGCUUGAAGGGUUGUGAAUCAUUCCCUCAGUCUAGGUAAUGUGUCCUGUCUUAAAAUCCAGGCUGGUCCAGAAGAGAUCACGUAAUGAAAAGGGCGUAGGUCACUUGGCCAUGAAGGAACAGUUCUGUGGCUCAACUGGCAUGUAAGAUUCCUGCAGAUGGAAAUCAGUACCUGUAUCUAUCUCUGUACCUGGGUAAAGCAGCUGCCUGGGCCGAAACUCAGGUAAAAUGGGCUAUGGUACUGGUCCUGCUGUCUCCUAGCACUGUGACCUCUAGCAAGUCACCUUGUAAUUCUAACCAUAGGGAUUCUUCUUGUUGUAAUAUGGGCAAAGCAGUUUAAUUUGUAGGCUGAGUGUAAGAAUACUGAUGUUUGUGAAAGCAGAAAAGUAUAUACAAGUGUAGGACAUUAUUCUUUAAAAUGUAUGUCACACAAUCAAGCCGGUAGUAUUUAUCAGUAGGUACAAAGAGAUAGACAAACUUAUGGUACUCAUAAAAACAACCUCAUGUAUUUGAAUUAAAAGUAGUUAAUUAAACAACUACUGGGGGAAAAUUCAGAUUUUCAUAGUGAGUAGGCCAGGUUAAGAAUUUUUAUUUUGUCAUGUAUUUUUACACUGACAAUACAGAAACUGUUGUGAAACUCUAAAUUUAGUUUCCUUUCUAUAAGAAGUGUUUUGGUUUUGAUGCCUUAAAAUACAUCUAAGAAAACAUGAAAAAAAGAGAAUGUUAGCAUGAACAUAUUUUUGAUAAUCUAUAAUGGCUUAAUCUGGAACUUUAUGAGCAGAGCAUAUAUUAUCAAAAAUGUAAAUUAAAUAAUGCAAUUGGAAGAUUUGAAUGCCAAGGUUAAAGCUACUUAUUACUGUACCAUGAUACACAACACAAUUUUUCUAAUUUUAAAUAAA